rnacentral:lncRNA from 1 species
AAGAAAAUGAGGAUGGACGUUAAAAUGCAAAAACGAAACGAGAAAAUUUUGGCAUUUUGUCACUUGCCAUGGUCGCUAAAGAAACAAGUUAAACUAUUGGUAAUAAUACUACUGCUUCAAGAGUAUUGCUAAUAAUUUGUGAUAGUGCCUUUUCCAUUUUAAAGGACAGCUGUAUUUGAAACGUGUGAAACGAUGUGAAACAAAGACGUGUGAGGUCAGUCACAAAAACAAUGAAAAUCAUACUUGACUAAACUUCUCCAUGAUCCAUGAGGUUGGUUUGAUUACUAUCGAAAACAGUCCAAUGGCCUUUAUGUUUACCUUCCAUGGAAAACAGCUGCUUUUAGGUGAAGUGAUGGAGACGACAUCACUGAAUGCAAAUUGUUUGCUCAUUUCCAAUGAUGUCAAGGGAAGUGAGAAAGCAAGUGUUGGUGUGUGGGGACAGAAAUGGUAGGAACACUUUUUGAAGCAUCAACGGUUCGCUCCAACAAAGUUUCAUUCGUGAAGAGAAUUGACACAAGAAAUGGGAUCUCACUGCAGAAUGGCAGCAGAGCAGCGUAUGAAAAGUGACUUCGGGAAAUAUUCAUCCGCUUAAUUGAACUUCCAAGAGAUGAUCAAGGUUAGGUAGUCUUUUCUUCUCUUCACCAAAUUCAGUUUGUCGUCGCC